rnacentral:rRNA from 1 species
GAUGAACGCUGGCGGCGUGCCUAAUACAUGCAAGUCGAGCGAACAGACGAGGAGCUUGCUCCUCUGACGUUAGCGGCGGACGGGUGAGUAACACGUGGAUAACCUACCUAUAAGACUGGGAUAACUUCGGGAAACCGGAGCUAAUACCGGAUAAUAUAUUGAACCGCAUGGUUCAAUAGUGAAAGACGGUUUUGCUGUCACUUAUAGAUGGAUCCGCGCCGCAUUAGCUAGUUGGUAAGGUAACGGCUUACCAAGGCAACGCUGCGUAGCCGACCUGAGAGGGUGAUCGGCCACACUGGAACGGAGACACGGUCCAGACUCCUACGGGAGGCAGCAGUAGGGAAUCUUCCGCAAUGGGCGAAAGCCUGACGGAGCAACGCCGCGUGAGUGAUGAAGGUCUUCGGAUCGUAAAACUCUGUUAUUAGGGAAGAACAAAUGUGUAAGUAACUAUGCACGUCUUGACGGUACCUAAUCAGAAAGCCACGGCUAACUACGUG